rfam:Synechococcus sp. MIT S9508 MITS9508_contig000003, whole genome shotgun sequence.
CCGUUUCAAUCUGCUGGGGGCAGAUGAAAUGGAUAUGGGUGUCGAUCCCACCUGCUGUGAGGAUGUGGCCCUCGCCCGCAAUCGCUUCGGUGCCGGGUCCUACAACGAUGGUGACCCCAUGCUGUGUGUCGGGGUUACCCGCUUUGCCAAUGCCAACGAUGCGCCCGUCUCUCAGACCCACAUCGGCUUUGAUGAUUCCCCACCAGUCGAGGAUCAAUGCAUUGGUGAUCACGGUGUCAACGGCUCCUUCAGCUCGUGCUGUUUGCGCCUGGCCCAUGCCGUCACGA